CCUGCCCCUAGAGGCGUUGCAGGUGUGGCUGCUGUGUCACAUGUGUGUCAGUAGGUGGCAGAGAGGAAAGAGGCUAUGUCUACGCUCAGUGUUCUGAUCUGUGAACAUCUGAAUGAUUAGUAGCCAAACAUUC
ensembl:snoRNA Gm25617 predicted gene, 25617